rnacentral:rRNA from 1 species
AUAACCCCGGGAAACUGGGGAUAAUUCCGGAUAACGCAUAUGUGCUGGAAUGCUUUAUGCGUCAAAUGGAUUCGUCUGCCCAAGGAUGGGUCUGCGGCCUAUCAGGUAGUAGUGGGUGUAAUGUACCUACUAGCCAGCGACGGGUACGGGUUGUGAGAGCAAGAGCCCGGAGAUGGAUUCUGAGACAUGAAUCCAGGCCCUACGGGGCGCAGCAGGCGCGAAAACUUUACAAUGCGGGAAACCGUGAUAAGGGGACACCGAGUGUCAGCAUCAUAUGCUGGCUGUCCAGGUGUGUAAAAUACACCUGUUAGCAAGGGCCGGGCAAGACCGGUGCCAGCCGCCGCGGUAACACCGGCGGCCCGAGUGGUGAUCGUGAUUAUUGGGUCUAAAGGGUCCGUAGCCGGUUUGGUCAGUCCUCCGGGAAAUCUGAUAGCUCAACUAUUAGGCUAUCGGGGGAUACUACCAGACUUGGAACCGGGAGAGGUAAGAGGUACUACAGGGGUAGGAGUGAAAUCUUGUAAUCCCUGUGGGACCACCUGUGGCGAAGGCGUCUUACCAGAACGGGUUCGACGGUGAGGGACGAAAGCUGGGGGCACGAACCGGAUUAGAUACCCGGGUAGUCCCAGCCGUAAACGAUGCUCGCUAGGUGUCAGGCAUGGCGCGACCGUGUCUGGUGCCGCAGGGAAGCCGUGAAGCGAGCCACCUGGGAAGUACGGCCGCAAGGCUGAA